rnacentral:rRNA from 1 species
UACGAAGGGUGCAAACGUUGCUCGGAAUCAUUGGGCGUAAAGCGCACGUAGGCGGCCUGAUAAGUCGGAUGUGAAAUCCCUCGGCUCAACUGAGGACGUGCAUUCGAAACUGCCAGGCUCGAGUAUGGAAGAGGGUCGCGGAAUUCCCGGUGUAGAGGUGAAAUUCGUAGAUAUCGGGAGGAACACCAGUGGCGAAGGCGGCGACCUGGGCCAAUACUGACGCUGAGGUGCGAAAGCGUGGGGAGCAAACAGGAUUGAGAAACCCCAGUAAGGUCC